GCGCCAAUAGCUCAGCUGGAUAGAGCAACUGCCUUCUAAGCAGUAGGUCGCAGGUUCGAGUCCUGCUUGGCGCA
rnacentral:tRNA from 1 species